GGACGCCCAAAGAGAAACGGGAAUAAGAAGUUUGUAUCUGACCUUAUGGAGUCGAAAGCCAUUCUUCUUUGCCUCAUGUUGAUUCUGCAGCUAGGAAACUCCAUUCAUGUUGAGCAGUGCAGGCAGGAAGCUUCUUUUACGAGCCCCGAUUGCACAAAAGCAACUUGCCAAAGUGCUUGCCAGAAGUCGUGGGGAGAUGACGUCCUGCAUGUGGUAUGUAGGAUCACAGGCAUAACCUUGGAAACUUGUUACUGCAUCGUAUGUGUUUAGAGUUGCACUAAACCAUCAUGUAAGGCAACGGAUAAUGAUGUGAUCCGGUAAUAAAGUCCUUUCGCAACAUGCUUGCGAUAAACUA